rnacentral:rRNA from 1 species
AUUGAGCGCUGGCGGCAGGCCUAACACAUGCAAGUCGAAUGGUAACAGGAAACAGCUUGCUGUUUCGCUGACGAGUGGCGGACGGGUGAGUAAUGUCUGGGAAACUGCCUGAUGGAGGGGGAUAACUACUGGAAACGGUAGCUAAUACCGCAUAACGUCGCAAGACCAAAGAGGGGGACCUUCGGGCCUCUUGCCAUCAGAUGUGCCCAGAUGGGAUUAGCUAGUAGGUGGGGUAACGGCUCACCUAGGCGACGAUCCCUAGCUGGUCUGAGAGGAUGACCAGCCACACUGGAACUGAGACACGGUCCAGACUCCUACGGGAGGCAGCAGUGGGGAAUAUUGCACAAUGGGCGCAAGCCUGAUGCAGCCAUGCCGCGUGUAUGAAGAAGGCCUUCGGGUUGUAAAGUACUUUCAGCGGGGAGGAAGGGAGUAAAGUUAAUACCUUUGCUCAUUGACGUUACCCGCAGAAGAAGCACCGGCUAACUCCGUG